rnacentral:lncRNA from 1 species
AAAAAAAAAUAUAUAAAAUCUUAUACAAACUUGAUUUAUUUUUGGUUUAUCAAUAAUGAAGAAAAAUGGACCUACGAAGUAGAAUGGCCAUCAAGGGUCCUUAUUAUUACUCGCUGCUUGCUAACAAGUACCCAACAAAUGAAGAGUAGACAGACUUUGUACUCUUUCCUUUUCUAAUAUUUCGGCACUUAUCUGUCAACAAUAUUUCAGCAUUUACGUACACACACACAC